CAGCCGCCCAAGGAUUCAGGUGGUGUGUGUUUCACACGGCGGAGUUCACCCCGAGCGGACCGGAUGGGUGGGCCACCGGGCGGCCUACACGGUUCUUAUGCAAUUGUACCUAUAAGGUAGAAACUUACAAGAGGAGCCAGUUUUAUCGAAGCCUGUUUGGGAACAUUAUACAGACUACGGGACCCUGGCGUUUGUUCUACCCUCAUUACACUUCGAUAACAACCUCUACCAGGCAUCAUGGGAGCUGAUAAGAAAGGAAAGGAAUCGGUCACCGCAGAGGAAUUGCGCAGGCAACGAGGGAUUGCAAAAGGCAAGGUCCUCACUCGUCACCGCCACUACCCCGUGCUGCCCUCGCCCCGCCCCGCCCCGUCCCGGGCCCCGAGCAAUCCUGUCGCAUCCUGUCGUCGCAGCGCUCGCUACCGUCGCCGCCGCCGCCCGCCUGAUUUGGCGGGCAGUCUUUUAUGCAUGAGCCGGAUCGAAACAUAAAGGCGCUUUAUUCAUAUGUUUCCACAA